CCUACGGGAGGCAGCAGUGGGGGAUAUUGCACAAUGGGGGGAACCCUGAUGCAGCGACGCCGCGUGGGUGAAGGAGUGCUUCGGCAUGUAAAGCCCUAUCGGCAGGGAAGAAGCAAGACGGUACCUGACUAAGAAGCCCCGGCUAACUACGUGCCAGCAGCCGCGGUAAUACGUAGGGGGCGAGCGUUAUCCGGAUUCACUGGGUGUAAAGGGAGCGUAGACGGCCAUGCAAGCCAGGGGGGAAAGCCCGGGGCCCAACCCCGGGACUGCCCUUGGAACUGUGCGGCUAGAGUGCGGGAGGGGCAGGCGGAAUUCGUGGUGUAGCGGUGAAAUGCGUAGAUAUCAGGAGGAACACCGGCGGCGAAGGCGGCCUGCUGGACCGCGACUGACGUUGAGGCUCGAAAGCGUGGGGAGCGAACAGGAUUAGAUACCCCUGUAGUC
rnacentral:rRNA from 1 species